AAGGUUCGAUUCUGGCUCAGGAUGAACGCUAGCUACAGGCUUAACACAUGCAAGUCGAGGGGCAUCAUGAUCAAAGCUGCUUGAUGAUGGCGACCGGCGCACGGGUGAGUAACGCGUAUCCAACCUUCCCCCUAGUAGGGCAUAGCCCGGCGAAAGUCGGAUUAAUACCCUAUGUUUUCCAAUGAGGACAUCUGAGCUGGAACAAAGAUUUAUCGCUAGGGGGAUGGGGAUGCGUCCGAUUAGCUUGCCGGCGGGGUAACGGCCCACCGGGGCGACGAUCGGUAGGGGUUCUGAGAGGAAGGUCCCCCACACUGGUACUGAGACACGGACCAGACUCCUACGGGAGGCAGCAGUGAGGAAUAUUGGUCAAUGGGCGUAAGCCUGAACCAGCCAAGUAGCGUGCAGGAGGACGGCCCUAUGGGUUGUAAACUGCUUUUAUGCGGGAUAAAGUUCACCACGUGUGGUGUUUUGUAGGUACCGCAUGAAUAAGGACCGGCUAAUUCCGUGCCAGCAGCUGC
rnacentral:rRNA from 1 species